GGGCUUAUGAUGAAAAAUCACAUUAUCUUAGCGGAUUUCAGUGAGAUUUUUUUCAAUGAUCUGAAUGUUACACACAUUGAGGCCC